CGCAGAUAUCUCACAUGGGUGGAAGAUGUGUUGAGCUCUCACCGGAUCGGAAGCUCCCCUCCGUCCAUCGUCGUGUUAUCUGACCUGCAGCGGGAUAGGUUUUAAACCCAUUACAAAAGCCUGGUUCAACUGCCUCCAGCCAUUCUAGACCUUCCUCAUUUGGGUACAAAGUACAGAUGCUUUCAGGUAUUUCAGGAACUUUGGUUUACAAUGCCCGGAAAGGUCAAAAGUAAUACUACUGAACUUUCUGGUUAUCUCAUUCUUAAUAUUCAGAAUGAACAUCAACAUGGAGGAAAGGGGAGGGAGCCAUAGAGAUUACAAAUUUUAUAUUGCUGACGCAAUAUUUAUUCUGAUAUUUGGAGGCAUGUUGAUUCAUAACAUGUGAGAAUGAUUUAUUUGUGGACUGGAAGUCCUUGAAGAUGGAUGGAUACAACAAAUGCAGAGAACUACAUGUUUUCCGGGCAUAAUGGAAAUGUCAGAAGAAAUGAUUAACAUUGUUAUCUGCAGACAAAUAAAUGAUGGGUCCUUUGGAUGACAGAUAGAGUGCGGUGAUAUAAGGAUGACAUGGUAUGGUUAUGUUUGACAAUCCAAUAAGGGGAUUUGUAACAUAUUUCUUUCAUAUGAAUUUCGAGCUCUUAACAUGUAUGAGUGAUCUGGCUAGAUGAUGCUCACCGAUUUAUUUUUGUUAAUUUGAGGGUAAUUCAUCAUAGUACUACAUGAGGAAGAAUAUAUAUUAUUUCAUUACUA